rnacentral:rRNA from 1 species
UACGGAGGGUGCAAGCGUUAUUCGGAAUUACUGGGCGUAAAGCGCACGUAGGCGGCCUUGUAAGUCAGGGGUGAAAUCCCACGGCUCAACCGUGGAACUGCCUUUGUGACUGCAAGGCUGGAGUGCGGCAGAGGGGGAUGGAAUUCCGCGUGUAGCAGUGAAAUGCGUAGAUAUGCGGAGGAACACCGAUGGCGAAGGCAAUCCCCUGGGCCUGCACUGACGCUCAUGCACGAAAGCGUGGGGAGCAAACAGG